GACAGAGGAUGCAAGCGUUAUCCGGAAUGAUUGGCGUAAAGCGUCUGUAGGUGGCUUUUAAGUCCGCCGUCAAAUCCCAGGGCUUAAACCCUGGACAGGCGGUGGAAACUACCAAGCUGGAGUACGGUAGGGGCAGAGGGAAUUUCCGGUGGAGCGGUGAAAUGGCGUAGAGAUCGGAAAGAACACCAACGGCGAAAGCAACUCUGCUGGGCCGACACGUGACACUGAGAGACGAAAGCUAGGGGAGCGAAUGGGAUUAGAGUAC
rnacentral:rRNA from 1 species